CACGGGGGGAGCAAGCGUUGUUCGGAAUCACUGGGCGUAAAGGGCGCGUAGGCGGGAUGGCAAGUCGGUCGUGAAAUCCUUCGGCUCAACCGAAGAACGUCGGCCGAUACUGCCGUUCUUGAGGGAUGCAGAGGAGAUUGGAAUUCCCGGUGUAGCGGUGAAAUGUGUAGAGAUCGGGAGGAACACCGGUGGCGAAGGCGGGUCUCUGGGCAUCUCCUGACGCUGAGGCGCGAAAGCGUGGGGAGCAAACGGG
rnacentral:rRNA from 1 species